UAGUUGCAAGGUAUAGACCCGAAACCCGGUGAUCUAGCCAUGGGCAGGUUGAAGGUUGGGUAACACUAACUGGAGGACCGAACCGACUAAUGUUGAAAAAUUAGCGGAUGACUUGUGGCUGGGGGUGAAAGGCCAAUCAAACCGGGAGAUAGCUGGUUCUCCCCGAAAGCUAUUUAGGUAGCGCCUCGUGAACUCAUCUUCGGGGGUAGAGCACUGUUUCGGCUAGGGGGCCAUCCCGGCUUACCAAACCGAUGCAAACUCCGAAUACCGAAGAAUGUUAUCACGGGAGACACACGGCGGGUGCUAACGUCCGUCGUGAAGAGGGAAACAACCCAGACCGCCAGCUAAGGUCCCAAAGUCAUGGUUAAGUGGGAAACGAUGUGGGAAGGCAUAGACAGCCAGGAUGUUGGCUUAGAAGCAGCCAUCAUUUAAAGAAAGCGUAAUAGCUCACUGGUCGAGUCGGCCUGCGCGGAAGAUGUAACGGGGCUAAACCAUGCACCGAAGCUGCGGCAGCGACGCUUAGGCGUUGUUGGGUAGGGGAGCGUUCUGUAAGCCGUUGAAGGUGGCCUGUGAGGGUUGCUGGAGGUAUCAGAAGUGCGAAUGCUGACAUAAGUAACGAUAAAGCGGGUGAAAAGCCCGCUCGCCGGAAGACCAAGGGUUCCUGUCCAACGUUAAUCGGGGCAGGGUGAGUCGACCCCUAAGGCGAGGCUGAAAAGCGUAGUCGAUGGGAAACAGGUUAAUAUUCCUGUACUCGGUGUUGCUGCGAAGGGGGGACGGAGAAGGCUAGGCUAGCCGGGCGACGGUUGUCCCGGUUUAAGCGUGUAGGGGGGUGUUCCUGGUAAAUCCGGAACGCUGUCAACCCUGAGGCGUGAUGACGAUGCACUACGGUGCAGAAGUAGUUGAUGCCAAGCUUCCAGGAAAAGCCUCUAAGCAUCAGGUAACACAGAAUCGUACCCCAAACCGACACAGGUGGUCAGGUAGAGAAUACCAAGGCGCUUGAGAGAACUCGGGUGAAGGAACUAGGCAAAAUGGUGCCGUAACUUCGGGAGAAGGCACGCUGGCGCGUAGGUGAAGUCCCUCGCGGAUGGAGCUGAAGCCAGUCGCAGAUACCAGCUGGCUGCAACUGUUUAAUAAAAACACAGCACUGUGCAAACACGAAAGUGGACGUAUACGGUGUGACGCCUGCCCGGUGCUGGAAGGUUAAUUGAUGGGGUCAGCCGCAAGGCGAAGCUCUUGAUCGAAGCCCCAGUAAACGGCGGCCGUAACUAUAACGGUCCUAAGGUAGCGAAAUUCCUUGUCGGGUAAGUUCCGACCUGCACGAAUGGCGUAAUGAUGGCCAGGCUGUCUCCACCCGAGACUCAGUGAAAUUGAACUCGCUGUGAAGAUGCAGUGUACCCGCGGCAAGACGGAAAGACCCCGUGAACCUUUACUAUAGCUUGACACUGAACAUUGAGCCUUGAUGUGUAGGAUAGGUGGGAGGCUUUGAAGCGUGGACGCCAGUCUGCGUGGAGCCAACCUUGAAAUACCACCCUUUAAUGUUUGAUGUUCUAACUCGGCCCCAUAAUCUGGGGUGAGGACAGUGUCUGGUGGGUAGUUUGACUGGGGCGGUCUCCUCCCAAAGAGUAACGGAGGAGCACGAAGGUUAGCUAAUCACGGUCGGACAUCGUGAGGUUAGUGCAAAGGCAUAAGCUAGCUUGACUGCGAGAGUGACGGCUCGAGCAGGUACGAAAGUAGGUCUUAGUGAUCCGGUGGUUCUGAAUGGAAGGGCCAUCGCUCAACGGAUAAAAGGUACUCCGGGGAUAACAGGCUGAUACCGCCCAAGAGUUCAUAUCGACGGCGGUGUUUGGCACCUCGAUGUCGGCUCAUCACAUCCUGGGGCUGAAGUAGGUCCCAAGGGUAUGGCUGUUCGCCAUUUAAAGUGGUACGCGAGCUGGGUUUAGAACGUCGUGAGACAGUUCGGUCCCUAUCUGCCGUGGGCGUUGGAAGAUUGAGAGGGGUUGCUCCUAGUACGAGAGGACCGGAGUGAACGCACCACUGGUGUUCGGGUUGUCAUGCCAAUGGCACUGCCCGGUAGCUAAGUGCGGAAAAGAUAAGCGCUGAAAGCAUCUAAGCGCGAAACUUGCCUCGAGAUGAGUCUUCCCUGGACCUUUAAGGUCCCUGAAGGAACGUUUAAGACUAAGACGUUGAUAGGCUGGGUGUGUAAGUGCAGCGAUGUAUUGAGCUAACCAGUACUAAUGAUCCGUGAGGCUUAACCUU
rnacentral:rRNA from 1 species